UAAAAGGCCUAAAUGCCCUAAUCAAAAGACACAGACUGGCAAAUUAGAUAAAAACCCAAAACCCAUCGGUACGCUGCAUCUAGACCCAUUUCACAUGCAAGGCACAAAGACUCAAAACAAAGGGAUGGAGAAAGAUUUACCAACGAAAUGGAUAGCAAAAA